rnacentral:misc_RNA from 1 species
GAUGAAGAACGUAGCGAAAUGAGAUAAGUAGUGUGAAUUGCAGAAUUCAGUGAAUCAUCGAAUCUUUGAACGCACAUUGCGCCCCUUGGUAUUCCAUGGGGCAUGCCUGUUCGAGCGUCAUUUGUACCUUCAAGCUCUGCUUGGUGUUGGGUGUUUGUCUCGCCUCUGCGCGUAGACUCGCCUCAAAACAAUUGGCAGCCGGCGUAUUGAUUUCGGAGCGCAGUACAUCUCGCGCUUUGCACUCAUAACGACGACGUCCAAAAGUACAUUUUUACACUCUUGACCUCGGAUCAGGAAGGGAUACCCGCUGAACUUAAGCAUAUCAAUAAGCGGAGGA